rnacentral:rRNA from 1 species
UGAAACCGUUCGGGGGUAAACGGACAGAGCCCGUGAAUCCGGGCGCGCGGAAUUCAGAACCGACGAGCAUACUUCGUCGAUUCGAUAUUUCCGCCGCCGACCCGUAGAAACGGGUGCGGACGUCGCGACCCGUUCGUCGUCGAUCUGACGAGUCGCGUUUCGAGUUCGAGGCGCGCGCGUUUCGUUCGCGUGCGCGCGCGUCGCGAUGGCGCGAUACUCGGAUCGGCGUGCGCGGACGGUAGCUGUGAACGCGCGGGUAAUCGACGCCGACGAUAUACGGUCGUAUUGCUGCGACGGUAUAUGUUCGAGCGUCGACGCCGGUCAGCGACGAAUUUUCGGGCCU